rnacentral:pre_miRNA from 1 species
UGGUGGUGUUGAUGAUGAUGAUGAUGAUGAUGAUCAUGAUCAUGACAAUCAUCAUCAUCUUCAUGAGCAUGAAUAUCAUCAUCAUCAUCAUCAUCAUCU